ACGUAAUGUAGCUUAACCAAAGCAUCUCGCUUACACCGAGAAAAUGUUUAUUAAAAUUAAACCAUUACGA
rnacentral:tRNA from 1 species